AGUGAACGCUGGCGGUAGGCCUAACACAUGCAAGUCGAACGGCAGCACAGUAAGAGCUUGCUCUUACGGGUGGCGAGUGGCGGACGGGUGAGGAAUACAUCGGAAUCUACUUUUUCGUGGGGGAUAACGUAGGGAAACUUACGCUAAUACCACAUACGACCUACGGGUGAAAGCAGGGGAUCUUCGGACCUUGCGCGAUUGAAUGAGCCGAUGUCGGAUUAGCUAGUUGGCGGGGUAAAGGCCCACCAAGGCGACGAUCCGUAGCUGGUCUGCGAGGAUGAUCAGCCACACUGGAACUGAGACACGGUCCAGACUCCUACGGGAGGCAGCAGUGGGGAAUAUUGGACAAUGGGCGCAAGCCUGAUCCAGCCAUACCGCGUGGGUGAAGAAGGCCUUCGGGUUGUAAAGCCCUUUUGUUGGGAAAGAAAAGCAGCAGGUUAAUACCCCGCUGUUCUGACGGUACCCAAAGAAUAAGCACCGGCUAACUUCGUG
rnacentral:rRNA from 1 species